UGCAUUCCAACAUUCUACUGCCCG
rnacentral:rasiRNA from 1 species